AGACGUCUACAUUAGAUACCCGUGUAGUCCCAGCCGUAAACUAUGCGCGUUAGGUGUAUCGGUGACCACGAGUUACCGAGGUGCCGAAGGGAAACCGUGAAACGUGCCGCCUGGGAAGUACGGUCGCAAGGCUGAAACUUAAAGGAAUUGGCGGGGGAGCACCGCAACGGGAGGAGCGUGCGGUUUAAUUGGAUUCAACACCGGAAACUCACCAGUGAAGACUGUUACAUGAAAGCCAGGCUGAUGACCUUGCUAGAUUUUCAG
rnacentral:rRNA from 1 species